UAAGCGGAGGAAAAGAAACUAACAAGGAUUCCCCUAGUAACUGCGAGUGAAGCGGGAAAAGNUCAAAUUUGGANUCUGGUGGUCUUUGGCCCAUCCGAGUNGUANNUUAGAGAAGCGUCUUCCGCGCUGGACCGUGCNCAAGUCUCCUGGAAUGGAGCGUCAUAGAGGGUGAGAAUCCCGUCUUUGGCAUGGAAUCCCAGGGCUUCUGUGAUGCGCUCUCGACGAGUCGAGUUGUUUGGGAAUGCAGCUCAAAAUGGGUGGUGAACUCCAUCUAAAGCUAAAUAUUGGCGAGAGACCGAUAGCGAACAAGUACCGUGAGGGAAAGAUGAAAAGCACUUUGGAAAGAGAGUGAAACAGUACGUGAAAUUGUUGAAAGGGAAACGCUUGAAGUCAGUCGCGUCGACCGAGACUCAGCCUUGCCUCGGCUUGGUGUACUUCUCGGCUUGACGGGUCAGCAUCGAUUUCAAUCCUCGGAUAAUGGCAAGGGAAAGGUAGCACCUUUUUAGGUGUGUUAUAGUCCUCUGUCGCAUGCGAGGGUCGGGAUCGAGGAACUCAGCACGCACCUCAGGGUGUCGGGGCCUUGGCCCACGUUUACGUGCUUAGGAUGCUGGCGUAAUGGCUUUAAACGACC
rnacentral:rRNA from 1 species